AUGAUUAAAUGAGAAGAUUGUUCUUUUACCAAACAUAUGCCGAUCAAAUCACGUCUUAUAAUAAGAAGAAAUCUUUCUCGGUAUCAAUCCCCUUGCCCCUCAUUCUUUGAGAAUCAGAAGGAUCCUUUUCGAGUUUCCAUUUCUUCAUUUGGAAAUUUCAUAGUGACAGUCAUAUCCACCGCAAAGUAUAAUGCUGACCAAGCUUAG
rnacentral:rRNA from 1 species